GACGAACGCUGGCGGCGUGCCUAACACAUGCAAGUCGAGCGAUUCUCUUCGGAGAAGAGCGGCGGACGGGUGAGUAACGCGUGGGUAACCUGCCCUGUACACACGGAUAACAUACCGAAAGGUAUGCUAAUACGGGAUAAUAUGCUUUAGUCGCAUGGCUGAAGUAUCAAAGCUCCGGCGGUACAGGAUGGACCCGCGUCUGAUUAGCUAGUUGGUAAGGUAACGGCUUAUCAAGGCGACGAUCAGUAGCCGACCUGAGAGGGUGAUCGGCCACCUUGGAACUGAGACACGGUCCAAACUCCUACGGGAGGCAGCAGUGGGUAAUAUUGCACAAUGGGCGAAAGCCUGAUGCAGCAACGCCGCGUGAGCGAUGAAGGCCUUCGGGUCGUAAAGCUCUGUCCUCAAGGAAGAUAAUGACGGUACUUGAGGAGGAAGCCCCGGCUAACUACGUGCCAGCCGCCGCGGUAA
rnacentral:rRNA from 1 species